GUUCCUAUGGCUUAGAUGGCAAAGCGCCUGCCUAGUAAGCAGGAGAUCACGAGUUUGAAUCCCGUUGGGACCU
rnacentral:tRNA from 1 species